UAAGAUUUAUAUUUAAGAUAUAUCCUGCUCAAUGAAUAUAUUAAAUAGCUGCAGUAUAUUGACUGUACAAAGGUAGCAUAAUAGGUUGCUUUUUAAUUGAAGGCUAGAAUGAAUGGAUGAACAAAAUUAUUACUGUUUCUAUUAUAUAAUUAUAAAUUAAUAUUAUAGUGAAGAAGCUAUAAUAAUAUUAAAAGACAAAAAGACCCUUUGAGCUAUUAAUAAUGUUAAUUAUUUAUAAAUAUUUUAUUUUUGACUGGGGUGGUUUAGGAAUAUUUUUAACUUCUUAUGUAUUUAUGAUUAAUAAUCUAUUAAUGAUCUUUAAAUGGUUUAUAUUUAGUUACCUAAGGGAUAACAGAUUAAUUUUUUUGUAGAGUUCUUAUUGAUAAAAAAGAUUAAUACCUCGAUGUUGGCUUAAAUUUUCCUAUAAAUGAAGAAGUUUAUAAGGUUGGUUUGUUCAACCAUUAA
rnacentral:rRNA from 1 species